rnacentral:rRNA from 1 species
UACGGAGGGUGCAACCGUUGCUCGGAAUCAUUGGGCGUAAAGCGCACGUAGGUGGCUUGUUAAGUCGGGUGUGAAAUCCCUGGGCUCAACCCAGGAAGUGCACUCGAAACUGGCGAGCUUGAGUACUGAAGAGGGUCGCGGAAUUCCCGGUGUAGAGGUGAAAUUCGUAGAUAUCGGGAGGAACACCAGUGGCGAAGGCGGCGACCUGGGCAGAUACUGACACUGAGGUGCGAAAGCGUGGGGAGCAAACAGG